rnacentral:sRNA from 1 species
ACAGCUGCGCGCCGCGGCGGCGGAAGAUGGCUGCGGCCGAAGUGGCGGACACUCAGCUGAUGCUUGGAGUCGGGCUGAUCGUGACCAUCUUUCCACCGUAGAAAAGGACACAAAUGGAGAAGUUCUGUGGGUGUGGUGUUAUCCUUCCACGACAGCCACAUUAAGGAACCUGCUGCUGAGAAAAUGCUGCCUUACAGAUGAAAACAAACUUCUUCAUCCCUUUGUCUUUGGUCAGUACAGAAGAACGUGGUUUUAUAUCACAACAAUUGAAGUUCCAGAUUCUUCCAUUUUGAAAAAGAAUGUACCUGAAACAUGGGAGCCCAGUUAAAAUGAUGGAGAGUUAUAUUGCAGUUCUCACAAAGGGGAUAUGCCAGAGUGAAGAAAAUGGCUCUUUCCUUAGUAAGGAUUUUGAUGCCCGAAAGGCCUACCUGGCUGGCUCCAUCAAAGACAUUGUAUCUCAGUUUGGAAUGGAAACUGUUAUCUUACAUACAGCACUGAUGCUAAAGAAAAGAAUUGUGGUGUAUCACCCCAAGAUAGAAGCGGUCCAGGAGUUUACCAGGACUCUGCCUGCCCUGGUGUGGCACCGACAGGACUGGACCAUCCUUCACUCUUACGUGCACCUCAACGCCGAUGAGCUGGAAGCCCUGCAGAUGUGCACAGGUUACGUCGCUGGAUUUGUAGACUUGGAGGUG